rnacentral:rRNA from 1 species
CUCUAUACGGAGUUACAAAGGACGACAUUAGACGAAUCAUCUGGAAAGAUGAAUCAAAGAAGGUAAUAAUCCUGUAGUCGAAAAUGUUGUCUCUCUUGAGUGGAUCCUGAGUACGACGGAGCACGUGAAAUUCCGUCGGAAUCUGGGAGGACCAUCUCCUAAGGCUAAAUACUCUCUAGUGACCGAUAGUGAACCAGUACCGUGAGGGAAAGGUGAAAAGCACCCCGGAAGGGGAGUGAAAUAGAACCUGAAACCGUGUGCUUACAAGUAGUCAGAGCCCGUUAAUGGGUGAUGGCGUGCCUUUUGUAGAAUGAACCGGCGAGUUACGAUUUGAUGCAAGGUUAAGCAGUAAAUGUGGAGCCGUAGCGAAAGCGAGUCUGAAUAGGGCGUUUAGUAUUUGGUCGUAGACCCGAAACCAGGUGAUCUACCCUUGGUCAGGUUGAAGUUCAGGUAACACUGAAUGGAGGACCGAACCGACUUACGUUGAAAAGUGAGCGGAUGAACUGAGGGUAGCGGAGAAAUUCCAAUCGAACCUGGAGAUAGCUGGUUCUCUCCGAAAUAGCUUUAGGGCUAGCCUCAAGUGAUGAUUAUUGGAGGUAGAGCACUGUUUGGACGAGGGGCCCCUCUCGGGUUACCGAAUUCAGACAAACUCCGAAUGCCAAUUAAUUUAACUUGGGAGUCAGAACAUGGGUGAUAAGGUCCGUGUUCGAAAGGGAAACAGCCCAGACCACCAGCUAAGGUCCCAAAAUAUAUGUUAAGUGGAAAAGGAUGUGGCGUUGCCCAGACAACUAGGAUGUUGGCUUAGAAGCAGCCAUCAUUUAAAGAGUGCGUAAUAGCUCACUAGUCGAGUGACACUGCGCCGAAAAUGUACCGGGGCUAAACAUAUUACCGAAGCUGUGGAUUGUCCUUUGGACAAUGGUAGGAGAGCGUUCUAAGGGCGUUGAAGCAUGAUCGUAAGGACAUGUGGAGCGCUUAGAAGUGAGAAUGCCGGUGUGAGUAGCGAAAGACGGGUGAGAAUCCCGUCCACCGAUUGACUAAGGUUUCCAGAGGAAGGCUCGUCCGCUCUGGGUUAGUCGGGUCCUAAGCUGAGGCCGACAGGCGUAGGCGAUGGAUAACAGGUUGAUAUUCCUGUACCACCUAUAAUCGUUUUAAUCGAUGGGGGGACGCAGUAGGAUAGGCGAAGCGUGCGAUUGGAUUGCACGUCUAAGCAGUAAGGCUGAGUAUUAGGCAAAUCCGGUACUCGUUAAGGCUGAGC